AUACGGAGGGUGCGAGCGUUAAUCGGAAUUACUGGGCGUAAAGCUCGCGUAGGCGGCUUUGUAAGUCGGAUGUGAAAGCCCUGGGCUCAACCUGGGAAUUGCACUCGAUACUGCAGAGCUAGAGUAUGGUAGAGGGAAGUGGAAUUUCCGGUGUAGCGGUGAAAUGCGUAGAUAUCCGGAGGAACAUCAGUGGCGAAGGCGACUUGCUGGACUAAUACUGACGCUGAGGAGCGAAAGCGUGGGGAGCAAACGGGAUUAGAUACCCCGGUAGUCC
rnacentral:rRNA from 1 species